GAGGGGAGGGAGGCAGCGCGCACCCGCGCGUGCGUGAGCUGGCGCGCGAGAAAGGGCCCGGUCGCGCCGAGGCUCGAGCGGCCGUCGCCAUUUUGUAGGGUUCUCUCUGACGCGGGAGCCGCCGCCGCCGCCGCCGCCACCGGGAGGCUCUUGUCAGGAUGGUGAAGCUUUUCAUCGGAAACCUGCCCCGGGAGGCCACAGAGCAGGAGAUCCGCUCACUCUUCGAGCAGUAUGGGAAGGUGCUGGAAUGUGACAUCAUUAAGAACUAUGGCUUUGUGCACAUAGAGGACAAGACGGCGGCUGAGGAUGCCAUUCGCAACCUGCACCACUACAAGCUGCACGGGGUGAACAUCAACGUGGAAGCCAGCAAGAAUAAGAGCAAAGCUUCAACCAAGUUGCAUGUGGGCAACAUCAGCCCCACCUGUACCAACCAAGAGCUUCGGGCCAAGUUUGAGGAGUACGGUCCAGUCAUCGAAUGUGACAUCGUGAAAGAUUAUGCCUUCGUACAUAUGGAGCGGGCGGAGGACGCAGUGGAGGCCAUCAGGGGCCUUGACAACACAGAGUUUCAAGGCAAAAGAAUGCACGUGCAGUUGUCCACAAGCCGACUUCGGACUGCCCCUGGGAUGGGAGACCAGAGUGGCUGCUAUCGGUGUGGGAAAGAGGGGCACUGGUCCAAAGAGUGCCCAGUGGAUCGUACAGGUCGUGUGGCGGACUUUACCGAGCAGUAUAACGAACAGUAUGGAGCAGUGCGCACGCCCUACACCAUGGGCUACGGGGAAUCCAUGUAUUACAACGAUGCAUAUGGAGCACUCGACUACUAUAAGCGUUACCGGGUCCGCUCUUAUGAGGCAGUGGCAGCGGCGGCGGCAGCUUCCGCGUACAACUACGCAGAGCAGACCAUGUCCCAUCUGCCUCAAGUCCAGAGCACAGCUGUGACCAGUCACCUCAACUCCACUUCUGUAGAUCCCUAUGACAGACACCUGUUGCCGAACUCAGGUGCCGCUGCCACCUCAGCUGCUAUGGCUGCUGCCGCUGCCACCACUUCCUCCUAUUAUGGAAGGGACAGGAGCCCCCUGCGUCGUGCUGCAGCUGUGCUCCCCACAGUUGGAGAGGGCUACGGUUAUGGGCCAGAGAGUGAGCUGUCUCAGGCUUCAGCAGCUGCACGGAAUUCUCUCUAUGACAUGGCCCGGUAUGAGCGGGAGCCGUAUGUGGACCGAGCACGGUACUCAGCCUUUUAAAAACUGGAGGUGUGAACCUCAAAUGGACUGAAUAACCCUGAGUUGGUUGCAGUCCCAGGAGCCUGAUGUUAAUGAGGCUGCCAGGAUGAAAUACUCCAGAACUGUUGGGGAUCCAAAUUCGGGUCUCACCCUAGCAGAACUGAUUCAAGAACGUCACAACUUUUGAAGUCGAUUGGCACAGAUCAAGACCAAGAUUUGGCCCUUUGUCUGUAAUAAGUAGAGGAACUUGGUGUGAGUUAACUUUUUUUUUCCCCCAGCCAUUGGUGUCUGGAGUUCCCAUCAUCAAUGGAAGAAUUAGAGAAUUUUAGGAUUUCUUCUUUUGAUUUGGACGGGACCAGGGCCCUUGUACUCGGAGCCAAGCUGCUCUCCAGGCAUUGUGUAAGCCUCUUGUGUUGUGCUCUCUUUCAGGUAGGAUAAUUGCGGACUGAACCCUCGGGCUGCGGUCAUAUAUGAGAACUUGCUCCGCGCGGUCCCCUUUGCCGGGAUGUUUCCAUUGCUUCAUGUUUCAGUAAACAAAGGAAUUUGUGACCAACUAUGUUUUCUUUCUUAAUUUAAUUCUUCUCAGUUGACUUUUCUUUCCUCCUGAGACUAGUCUCUGUAGCCUUUCACUCUAUUCCUUAUAUUCCCAGCCUCUGAGCAGCCCUAGGUAAGGAUUAUGCUGGCAUCCCCUUUUUCCUGUACAGUGGAACCCCUCAUAUCUUGCUUUCCUUAGGAGUUGAACCCUUCUCCCUGUCUACAGCAACAUCUCCUUUCCCUUUAAAAACUGACCAUGUAGUGGCAAGCAACCUUUUACUCUUCUCUGUUAGCUCUGGACCCUAACAUUGAAGCUAAUCUUCUGAAAUUGCUAGGACCAGUGGGGU